AAGUCGUAACAAGGUUUCCGUAGGUGAACCUGCGGAAGGAUCAUUAAAGUAAAACCAAGGUCGCGCGCAGUUGCUGGCCCUCCGGGGCAUGUGCACGCCGCUUCCGCAUCCUCUUCUACCCCUGUGCACCUUUGCGUGGGGUGCCGCCGGCUUUUCAAGCCUCCGGUGCUCCGCGUCUCUUACACACAUACCACGCAUGUCUUCAGAAUGUCUAUUGCGAUAAAAAGCAAACUUAAUACAACUUUCAACAACGGAUCUCUUGGCUCUC
rnacentral:misc_RNA from 1 species